AUUGAACGCUAGCGGGAUGCUUUACACAUGCAGGUCGAACGGCCGCGCGGACUUCGGUCUGGCGGCGAGUGGCGAACGGGUGAGUAAUGUAUCGGAACGUGCCCAGUAGCGGGGGAUAACUACGCGAAAGCGUAGCUAAUACCGCAUACGCCCUACGGGGGGAAGCAGGGGAUCGUAAGACCUUGCACUAUUGGAGCGGCCGAUAGCGGAUUAGCUAGUUGGUGAGGUAACGGCUCACCAAGGCGACGAUCCGUAGCUGGUUUGAGAGGACGACCAGCCACACUGGGACUGAGACACGGCCCAGACUCCUACGGGAGGCAGCAGUGGGGAAUUUUGGACAAUGGGGGCAACCCUGAUCCAGCCAUCCCGCGUGUGCGAUGAAGGCCUUCGGGUUGUAAAGCACUUUUGGCAGGAAAGAAACGUCGCGGGCUAAUACCCCGUGGAACUGACGGUACCUGCAGAAUAAGCACCGGCUAACUACGUG
rnacentral:rRNA from 1 species